rnacentral:lncRNA from 1 species
GAAACACAUUAAUUCAUUUUAUUUAUAAUGAGGCCGUGAGUGAAAUAUUCAGAAUGCUAAGAGAGAAGCACCUCAUCAGAAGGGUUUUUGUAAAGAGAAGUGUCACUCUCAUCUUUGCAUCCAGGGAGCAUCGCGCAGGAGUCAGCCCUGACCCACGCCGGUCUCGGCCCUCUGCUGGUCGCCGGACCACAUCUGCUCUCCACCCCAUUCCUCCUUGUUGACAGGAUUCCGGUUUUAUUUGGCUUGGCAAUGAACCCGACUGAAAAUAUGCAGUUUCCCAGACUCCUUUGCGGUGGAGAGUGGUCAGGUGACAUGGCCCCAGCCAACGCGGUGGAGGUGAGCUGCCGAAAGACAGUCCUUGCAGAACAAGACAGCACAGAGCUCAAAAGAUGGAUGAAGCCGGGGUCCCUGCCCGACAACCUGCCUCCAGCCUCCCCUGCCUGAGACGACCAGCCCCGCUGUCGUUUUCGGUUGAACAAGUUCCCAACUGAUCUACCCACGUGCAUCUGAACCUAAGGAGCUGCCACCACCCCCGCAUCUUUGAGGAGCAAACACAAGGGGUUAGAGCCAGUCUCAAUGGAAACAACUCCCACCCAGGCCAGGGCCCCGCCUCCCCUUUGCCUAUCUGAGGUGAUUGACAGCAAUGCCAUCCAAUCACAAUGUUCUCUGUCUUCUUGGCGACGCCAGAAAGUGAGCUGCCUCUACUCACUAUUUAUUUAUUUGUUUAUUUUAUUUUAGUUAUUUGGUUAUCUCCUUGGUGAAACCAGCCUCCAGGUUUCCCAAAAUGUGACACCCAGUGCAGCACCCCUGGACCUGUCCUUUCCUCCCCACGUGGUGGCUAAUGGAGAUGCCUCUCAGGACAGGAGAGGCUCUGGGUGUCUCCGUCUGCAGAAUGGGGGCGACCAGACCUCACCUGCUUGCUCCUGCACAGUCACCCGCCCUGGCCUCUGUGCUCUGGCCUCACCAGGCCCUCCGAGCACGGCCCCUCACAGUCCACUCUCCCGUUUGGCCCACUGGGAGGUCCCAG